GGAGGUGUAGUUUAGUGAUAGAACAUAUGCUUAGAAUGCAUGAAGUACUGAGUUCACUUCUUAGCGUGAUCA
rnacentral:tRNA from 1 species